CUUUGCCCUUCAAUCGCUUAGCCAGAAUUUCAGAGUCAGUUUCCAUGAUGAUCUUACGAAAGCCUCUAUUCCAAGCCAAGGACACCUCCACAACUCGCGAAGCUCGGAUCACCACAACAAGCACCGUCUGAAUUGAUCUUAAUCCACCCCAGAUCCGGAGCAGACCACGACUUUUGAACAGUCAAAGUCUUGAUAUUCGACUUUACAACUAGACCUUUAGCAUUCAUAAAUUC